AUUGAACGCUGGCGGCAUGCUUUACACAUGCAAGUCGAACGGCAGCGGGGGCUUCGGCCUGCCGGCGAGUGGCGAACGGGUGAGUAAUGCAUCGGAACGUGCCCAUGUUGUGGGGGAUAACUACGCGAAAGCGUAGCUAAUACCGCAUAAGCCCUGAGGGGGAAAGCGGGGGAUUCUUCGGAACCUCGUGCGAUUGGAGCGGCCGAUGUCGGAUUAGCUAGUAGGUGAGGUAAAGGCUCACCUAGGCGACGAUCCGUAGCGGGUCUGAGAGGAUGAUCCGCCACACUGGGACUGAGACACGGCCCAGACUCCUACGGGAGGCAGCAGUGGGGAAUUUUGGACAAUGGGCGCAAGCCUGAUCCAGCCAUGCCGCGUGAGUGAAGAAGGCCUC
rnacentral:rRNA from 1 species